CAGCAACUAGUUUUUGGUUGGAUACCUGC
rnacentral:piRNA from 1 species